rnacentral:rRNA from 1 species
UACGAGGGGUGCAAGCGUUAAUCGGAAUUACUGGGCGUAAAGCGCGCGUAGGCGGCUGAGUAAGUCGAUUGUGAAAUCCCCGGGCUCAACCUGGGAACUGCAUCUGUGACUGCAUAGCUAGAGUACGGUAGAGGGGGAUGGAAUUCCGGCGUGUAGCAGUGAAAUGCGUAGAUAUGACGGAGGAACACCGAUGGCGAAGGCAAUCCCCUGGACCUGUACUGACGCUCAUGCACGAAAGCGUGGGGAGCAAACAGG